rnacentral:rRNA from 1 species
UUUCACAUGCAGUCGAGCGGAGAGAGGUAGCUUGCUACUGAUCUUAGCGGCGGACGGGUGAGUAAUGCUUAGGAAUCUGCCUAUUAGUGGGGGACAACAUUUCGAAAGGAAUGCUAAUACCGCAUACGUCCUACGGGAGAAAGCAGGGGAUCUUCGGACCUUGCGCUAAUAGAUGAGCCUAAGUCGGAUUAGCUAGUUGGUGGGGUAAAGGCCUACCAAGGCGACGAUCUGUAGCGGGUCUGAGAGGAUGAUCCGCCACACUGGGACUGAGACACGGCCCAGACUCCUACGGGAGGCAGCAGUGGGGAAUAUUGGACAAUGGGCGCAAGCCUGAUCCAGCCAUGCCGCGUGUGUGAAGAAGGCCUUAUGGUUGUAAAGCACUUUAAGCGAGGAGGAGGCUACUUUAGUUAAUACCUAGAGAUAGUGGACGUUACUCGCAGAAAUAAGCACCGGCUAACUCUGUGCCAGCAGUCGCGGUAAUACAGAGGGUGCAAAGCGUUAAUCGGGUUUACUGGGCGUAAAGCGCGCGUAGGCGGC